UGGCGCGUGCUAUACAUGCAAGUCGAGCGAACUGAUUAGAAGCUUGCUUCUAUGACGUUAGCGGCGGACGGGUGAGUAACACGUGGGCAACCUGCCUGUAAGACUGGGAUAACUUCGGGAAACCGAAGCUAAUACCGGAUAGGAUCUUCUCCUUCAUGGGAGAUGAUUGAAAGAUGGUUUCGGCUAUCACUUACAGAUGGGCCCGCGGUGCAUUAGCUAGUUGGUGAGGUAACGGCUCACCAAGGCAACGAUGCAUAGCCGACCUGAGAGGGUGAUCGGCCACACUGGGACUGAGACACGGCCCAGACUCCUACGGGAGGCAGCAGUAGGGAAUCUUCCGCAAUGGACGAAAGUCUGACGGAGCAACGCCGCGUGAGUGAUGAAGGCUUUCGGGUCGUAAAACUCUGUUGUUAGGGAAGAACAAGUACGAGAGUAACUGCUCGUACCUUGACGGUACCUAACCAGAAAGCCACGGCUAACUACGUGCCAGCAGCCGCGGUAAUACGUAGGUGGCAAGCGUUAUCCGGAAUUAUUGGGCGUAAAGCGCGCGCAGGCGGUUUCUUAAGUCUGAUGUGAAAGCCCACGGCUCAACCGUGGAGGGUCAUUGGAAACUGGGGAACUUGAGUGCAGAAGAGAAAAGCGGAAUUCCACGUGUAGCGGUGAAAUGCGUAGAGAUGUGGAGGAACACCAGUGGCGAAGGCGGCUUUUUGGUCUGUAACUGACGCUGAGGCGCGAAA
rnacentral:rRNA from 2 species